rnacentral:rRNA from 1 species
GACGAACGCUGGCGGCGUGCCUAAUACAUGCAAGUAGAACGCUGAAGGAGGAGCUUGCUUCUCUGGAUGAGUUGCGAACGGGUGAGUAACGCGUAGGUAACCUGCCUGGUAGCGGGGGAUAACUAUUGGAAACGAUAGCUAAUACCGCAUAAGAGUAGAUGUUGCAUGACAUUUGCUUAAAAGGUGCAAUUGCAUCACUACCAGAUGGACCUGCGUUGUAUUAGCUAGUUGGUGGGGUAACGGCUCACCAAGGCGACGAUACAUAGCCGACCUGAGAGGGUGAUCGGCCACACUGGGACUGAGACACGGCCCAGACUCCUACGGGAGGCAGCAGUAGGGAAUCUUCGGCAAUGGACGGAAGUCUGACCGAGCAACGCCGCGUGAGUGGAGAAGGUUUUCGGAUCGUAAAGCUCUGUUGUAAGAGAAGAACGAGUGUGAGAGUGGAAAGUUCACACUGUGACGGUAUCUACCA